GAUGAAGAACGCAGCAAAAUGCGAUAAGUAAUGUGAAUUGCAGAAUUCAGUGAAUCAUCGAACCUUUGAACGCACAUUGCGCCCGCCAGUAUUCUGGCGGGCAUGCCUGUUCGAGCGUCAUUUCAACCCUCAAGCCCUCGGGUUUGGUGUUGGGGAUCGGCGAGCCUUUCUGGCAAGCCGGCCCCGAAAUCUAGUGGCGGUCUCGCUGCAGCCUCCAUUGCGUAGUAGUAAAACCCUCGCAACUGGAACGCGGCGCGGCCAAGCCGUUAAACCCCCAUCUUCUGAAUGUUGACCUCGGAUCAGGUAGGAAUACCCGCUGAACUUAAGCAUAUCAAUAAGCGGAGGA
rnacentral:misc_RNA from 1 species